AAUUAUCUGCCACCGGGUAGGAAUGUUGAAAGCAUUCACAUACGCAUCGAUAGGUCUUUGAAGAUGUGUAUAUGAAUGCUUUUUAUAU
rnacentral:ncRNA from 1 species